rnacentral:rRNA from 1 species
GACGAACGCUGGCGGCGUGCCUAACACAUGCAAGUCGAACGGAAAGGCCCUGCUUUUGUGGGGUGCUCGAGUGGCGAACGGGUGAGUAACACGUGAGUAACCUGCCCUUGACUUUGGGAUAACUUCAGGAAACUGGGGCUAAUACCGGAUAGGAGCUCCUGCUGCAUGGGGGGGGUUGGAAAGUUUCGGCGGUUGGGGAUGGACUCGCGGCUUAUCAGCUUGUUGGUGGGGUAGUGGCUUACCAAGGCUUUGACGGGUAGCCGGCCUGAGAGGGUGACCGGCCACAUUGGGACUGGGAUACGGCCCAGACUCCUACGGGAGGCAGCAGUGGGGAAUAUUGCACAAUGGGCGGAAGCCUGAUGCAGCGACGCCGCGUGCGGGAUGACGGCCUUCGGGUUGUAAACCGCUUUCGCCUGUGACGAAGCGUGAGUGACGGUAAUGUGUAAAGAAGCACCGGCUAACUACGUG